GGCUGGGAGCUCAGAAACUGAAAGAAAACAAGCUCGCACUUCCUCUUUGGCUGCCCUGGGUCCGCCGGCCCCGGCACCACAUGAUCGCGCGCUGCCGGAGUGAUUCAUUAGGCUGCCUUUGUCAGCGAUUGGCAACCUAACCGCAGCCGCAGCGGCGGAGCAGCCGCACGUCGUCCUCCUGCUUCAGAGCCCAAAGCGGCCCCAGAGGAGCCACCCUCUGCUCCCUCUCCAUCCCCGCGUGCUGGCCGUGAGGGGAGGAAGGGGCCAGCGACAGCCGCAGCCGCAGCAGCAGCCCGGGCCAGCAGCCACCAGCAAGCCAACUCUCCCGGCCCUCUCCAUCGCGGCGCGCUGGUCAAGGGGAGGGGAGGGGGCAGCAGCGCGGGCCCCUUCUGCUCCAGAGCCCCAAGCAGCCACCCCAGAAACCAGCCUUCCUUCCCCCUGCCCUCUCCAUCACACUGCUGGUCAAGAAACAGUUCUGGCCCAGAGCCUGAGAGGAAAAUGCUUGAGGGGGAAGAAAAGAGCUUCUUUCUGCCGGAGGAUUGCCUUCUGAACUUCAAAAGUAACCCUUUUGUUGUUUGUAAAGAAAAGAAUGUAUUCACCAUCCACAACUACAAUGAGAUGCUUCCUAGGGAUUGGAGAAUCAAAGGUACUUCUGGAGAGAGAAAUGGCAAACUACUCCAAUAUC